rnacentral:rRNA from 1 species
AUUGAACGCUGGCGGCAGGCCUAACACAUGCAAGUCGAACGAGUGGCGGACGGGUGAGUAAUGUCUGGGAAACUGCCCGAUGGAGGGGGAUAACUACUGGAAACGGUAGCUAAUCCCGCAUACCAUCGGAUGUGCCCAGCUGGGAUUAGCUAGUAGGUGGGGUAAUGGCUCACCUAGGCGACGAUCCCUAGCUGGUCUGAGAGGAUGACCAGCCACACUGGAACUGAGAAACGGGCCGGAAUCCUACGGGAGGCGGCAGUGGGGAAUAUUGCGCGAUGGGCGCAAGCCUGAUGCAGCCAUGCCGCGUGUGUGAGGAAGGCCUUCGGGUUGUAGAGCACUUUCAGCGGGGAGGCGUUACCCGCAGAAGAAGCACCGGCUAACUCCGUGCCAGCAGCCGCGGUAAUAC